rnacentral:rRNA from 1 species
CCCCUAGUAACUGCGAGUGAAGCGGGAAAAGCUCAAAUUUAAAAUCUGGCAGUCUUUGGCUGUCCGAGUUGUAAUCUAGAGAAGUAUUAUCCGCGCUGGACCGUGUACAAGUCUCCUGGAAUGGAGCGUCAUAGAGGGUGAGAAUCCCGUCUUUGACACGGACUGCCAGGGCUUUGUGAUAUGCUCUCAAAGAGUCGAGUUGUUUGGGAAUGCAGCUCAAAAUGGGUGGUAAAUUCCAUCUAAAGCUAAAUAUUGGCGAGAGACCGAUAGCGAACAAGUACCGUGAGGGAAAGAUGAAAAGAACUUUGGAAAGAGAGUUAAACAGUACGUGAAAUUGCUGAAAGGGAAACGCUUGAAGUCAGUCGCGUUGGCCAGGGAUCAACCUUGCUUUUUUGCUUGGCUUACUUUCUGGUCGAUGGGUCAGCAUCAAUUUUGACCGGUGGAAAAAGUUCAAAGGAAUGUGGCAUCUUCGGAUGUGUUAUAGCCUUUGUUCACAUACAUUGGUUGGGAUUGAGGAACUCAGCACGCCGCAAGGCCGGGUUUUUAACCACGUACGUGCUUAGGAUGCUGGCAUAAUGGCUUUAAUCGACCCGUCUUGAAACACGGACCAAGGAGUCUAACAUGCCUGCGAGUAUUUGGGUGAAAAACCCGAGUGCGUAAUGAAAGUGAAAGUUGAGAUCCCUGUCGUGGGGAGCAUUGACGCCCGGAUCUGACCUUUUGUGACGAUUCUGCGGUAGAGCAUGUAUGUUGGGACCCGAAAGAUGGUGAACUAUGCCUGAAUAGGGUGAAGCCAGAGGAAACUCUGGUGGAGGCUCGUAGCGAUUCUGACGUGCAAAUCGAUCGUCAAAUUUGGGUAUAGGGGCGAAAGACUAAUCGA